CUCGUUGAUCCUGCGAGAGAUUUCUGCUAGAGGAGUUAGAUUAAGCCAUGCAAGUAUCUUAAUAUUUAUAUUGAGGUGCAUAAGGCUGAGUAACACGUCAAUAAUCUGUCUUAUUAUCUUUUAUAAUCUUGGGAAACUGUGGAUAAAGAGGAUAGAAAUUAUAAACUGGAAUGUUGUAAUUUUGAAGGUAAGGUGGGAUGGCGGUCGAUUAGGUUGUUGGUGAGGUAAUGGCUCACCAAGCCUCUGAUCGGUAGGGGUUGUGAGAGCAAUAACCUCCAGAAGGACACUGAGACAAGGGUCCUAGCUCUAAGGAGUGCAGCAGGUGCGAAAACUCUACAAUGCACGCAAGUGUGAUAGGGUAACUCCUCGUACUCACCUCUGGUGAGUUUUUAUUAAGUUUAGUUAACUUAUUGAAUAAGUGAUGGGCAAGACUGGUGCCAGCAGCCGCGGUUAUACCAGCCUCACAAGUGGAAAUCAUUUUUAUUGGGUCUAAAGCGUUCGUAGCCGGUUUUUUAAGUUUUUCGUUAAAUUUUCUCGUUUAACUUGAAACUCGCAAAAAAUACUAGAAAACUUGGAAUCGGGAGGGGUGUGGAGUAUUAUAAGGGUAGCGGUAGAAUGUUAUAAUCCUUUUAAGACUAACUAUGGCGAAGGCACCACACUAGAACAAAUUCGACGGUCAGGAACGAAAGUUGGGGGAGCAAACCGGAUUAGAUACCCGGGUAGUCCUAACUGUAAACUCUGUAGGUUAAGAUUUGCUUUUUUUUCGGAAUUUAGCAGAUCUAAAAGCGAAGGCGUUAAACCUACCACCUGGGAAGUACAGCCGCAAGGCCGAAACUUAAAGGAAUUGCCGGGGGAGUACUACAAGCGGUGCGGCGUGCUGUUCAAUUUAACUAUACACAGAGAAACUUACCAAGGGCGACAGCACAAUGAAGGUCAGUCUAAAGGGCUUACCUAAGGCGCUGAGAGGUGUUGCAUGGCCGCCGUCAGCUCGUGCUGUGAAGUGUCCUCUUAAGUGAGGAAACGAGCAAGACCUAUACCUAUAAUUGCUAACAGGGUUUACCUGUGCACUUUAUAGGGACUGCCUUGGAAACAAGGAGGAGAGUGUAGGCAACGGUAGGUCUAUAUUGCCCGAAUCUCUUGGGCUACAAGCGCGCAACAAUGGCAAGUACAAUGAGUCGCAACUUCGAGAGAAGACGCCAAUCUCCAAAACUUGUCUUAGUUUAGAUUGAGGUUUGUAACUCAGCCUCAUGACAACGGAAUCGCUAGUAAUCGGAUGUUAUCAGCAUCCGGUGAAUAUGUCCAUUCUCCUUGGACACACUGCCCGUCAAACCAACCAAGCAGGACUUAAAUGAGGUUUUUCUCCUUAAGGGAAAAAUCGAAUUUUUGUUCUGUGAGGGGGGUUAAGUCGUCACAAGGUA
rnacentral:rRNA from 1 species